AGUCCCUAAUGACUUCACUUGUCCAACCCUAUUCAUUUGUGAUGCUGACACAGUGUCACGUGACCAGAGGUUAGGCCACCUCAUAUUUACCAGAGACCAGCUGUCAGGAGGGCACGAGUUCCCAGUAGAGAAGUGGUAUGAUCUACAGUCGGUUACUCCUGAUUCUGAAGUAUAGGUACACGUUUAAAUGGAUCAGUCAUUCAUUAAGUACAUGUACUCAUCAAUGACUAAUUUAUUAUUUUUUGUUGAGAAGCUCAUAAGUGCCAUUACAAGUUCUGCCCGUUCCUGUCCUUCAGUUAUGAAGAGAAUAUUUCAUUUAUUACGUACACUAUCAGUCAAACAAUUCCCUGUCCUAGAAAAUUCUGUCUGAUAUGUAUAAAUCACUGGAUUUAUCUUUUGAUAUUUUUUCUUUAGCCAUUUUAAACCUGAAAUUGAAGAAUCAGAAUUAGACUGUCUCGAGGAUUUUACUUGUUAAAUCU